rnacentral:rRNA from 1 species
AUUGAACGCUGGCGACAUGCCUUACACAUGCAAGUCGAACGAAGUCUUCGGACUUAGUGGCGGACGGGUGAGUAACACGUGGGAACGUGCCUUUAGGUUCGGAAUAACUCAGGGAAACUUGUGCUAAUACCGAAUGUGCCCUUCGGGGGAAAGAUUUAUCGCCUUUAGAGCGGCCCGCGUCUGAUUAGCUAGUUGGUGAGGUAAUGGCUCACCAAGGCUACGAUCAGUAGCUGGUCUGAGAGGAUGACCAGCCACAUUGGGACUGAGACACGGCCCAAACUCCUACGGGAGGCAGCAGUGGGGAAUCUUGCGCAAUGGGCGAAAGCCUGACGCAGCCAUGCCGCGUGGAUGAUGAAGGUCUUAGGAUUGUAAAGUCCUUUCACCGGUGAAGAUAAUGACUGUAGCCGGAGAGGAAGCCCCGGCUAACUUCGUGCCAGCCGCCGCCGUAACAC